AGUGAACGCUGGCGGUAGGCCUAACACAUGCAAGUCGAACGGCAGCACAUUAUGAGCUUGCUCUUACGGGUGGCGAGUGGCGGACGGGUGAGGAAUACAUCGGAAUCUACUUUUUCGUGGGGGAUAACUUAGGGAAACUUACGCUAAUACCGCAUACGACCUACGUGUGAAAGCAGGGGAUCUUCGUACCUUGCUCGAUUGAAUGAGCCGAUGUCGGAUUAGCUAGUUGGCGGGGUAAAGGCCCACCAAGGCGACGAUCCGUAGCUGGUCUGAGAGGAUGAUAAGACACACUGGAACUGAGACACGGUCCAGACUCCUACGGGAGGCAGCAGUGGGGAAUAUUGGAAAAUGGGAGCAAGCCUGAUCCAGCAAUGCGGCGUGGGUGAAGAAGGCAUUCGGGUUGUAAAGCCCUUUUGUUGGGAAAGAAAAGCAGCAGGUUAAGAAGAAGAUGUUAUGACGGUACCCAAAGAAUAAGCACCGGCUAACUUCGUG
rnacentral:rRNA from 1 species